rnacentral:lncRNA from 1 species
UCGUGCGCUGCUUUGUCGCCGCGGGAAGCGGGAAUCGCAUUCGAAUCGACACACGCGAGGCCCACGUGGGCGCCACGGACCCUGACUCGGCCCACUGGGCCGAGCCCGCCUCAUUGCAGUGCCUCGGCCCGUCGAAUGUUAUCAACGCGGCCCUCCAAGAAGGCGUCGGCGUCGUGUUCGAGCUGCGGAGGAGAAAGUCGGGCCCGAUUUUGGGCCGGGGGUCCGAGUUAAUGGGCCGGGCCGAGCUGACGUGGCGCGACGUGGCGGGUGACGUGGAGAAACGGAUUGGGCUCUGCGGGCCCGGGGGGAUUGGGCUCGGCCCGUGUUUGGUGGUGAGGAUGAGAGUCGGCGUUGAGGAGGCGGGGGAGAAAGAGAGAGGCGGCGGCGGCGGGAGGAGGGUGGAGUGGA